rnacentral:rRNA from 1 species
GACGAACGCUGGCGGCGUGCCUAAUACAUGCAAGUCGAACGCACUCUCGUUUAGAUUGAAGGAGUUUGCUCCUGAUUGAUAAACAUUUGAGUGAGUGGCUGACGGGUGAGUAACACGUGGGUAACCUGCCCUAAAGUGGGGGAUAACAUUUGGAAACAGAUGCUAAUACCGCAUAAAACCUAACACCGCAUGGUGUAGGGUUGAAAGAUGGUUUCGGCUAUCACUUUAGGAUGGACCCGCGGUGCAUUAGUUAGUUGGUGAGGUAAAGGCUCACCAAGACCGUGAUGCAUAGCCGACCUGAGAAGGUAAUCCGCCAAACUGGGACUGAGACACGGCCCAGACUCCUACGGGAGGCAGCAGUAGGGAAUCCUCCACAAUGGACGAAAGUCUGAUGGAGCAACGCCGCGUGAGUGAAGAAGGUUUUCGGAUCGUAAAACUCUGUUGUUGGAGAAGAAUGUAUCUGAUAGUAACUGAUCAGGUAGUGACGGUAUCCAACCAGAAAGCCACGGCUAACUACGUG